GAUGAAGAACGUAGUGAAAUGCGAUAAGUAAUGUGAAUUGCAGAAUUCAGUGAAUCAUCGAAUCUUUGAACGCACCUUGCACCCUUUGGUAUUCCGAAGGGUAUGCUCGUUUGAGUGUCAUUGUACUCUCACACUUCCGAUCGUUUGGAUCGGGAGCGGUGGACUUGGGUGUUGCUGCUUUACUGUGGCUCACCUUAAAUGCAUUAGUGCACCUUUCGGUUGGACAUAGUACGGCGUGAUAAGUGUCUUCGCCGGUGCCUCGCAAAGAGGGUGGCCGAUCGGGAUGUUGUGCUCCAAACCGUCUUCGGACAAUCUCUGACGACUUGACCUCAAAUCGAGUAAGACUACCCGCUGAACUUAAGCAUAUCAAUAAGCGGAGGA
rnacentral:misc_RNA from 1 species